rnacentral:piRNA from 1 species
UGAUCGAUGAUACCCAUGCUUCUAGCUUUA